AACCCGUAGAUCCGAACUUGUGUUCUGUCAACAAGAAACACAUCUUCGGGUAUGGGUCGG
rnacentral:pre_miRNA from 1 species